UUCAAAUUAAAACCCAGAAAUUUAUCAGCUUAUACAACUUGUUUGUUUCUCUCCUCUCUGUUUCCAUUUCACAUGCCUUAGAUCACGCUUAAAUUUGUUUAUAUCGUCUCUUUUGUACUAGAUCUGUUAUAUUUCUUUGUCUUCAACUAUUUAUAUCAAAGGUGUUUCUGAUUGUUUUUUUAUGUUCUGAAUUUUUUCUUUGCAAAUCUUUUUUUUUUUCUUUCUUUUUUUGAAACCGUUUGAGUCCAUCCGUUUGACCCGCAAUCCGCCUGACCCGAAUCCGUCUAACCCGACUCUUAAAAACGGAUCGGUAUGGACUGCAGUACUCCACCCGUGGACAGGGUCGGGUGGUGUUUUUUGGCCUGAACCCGGCCGACCCGGCCCGUUGUCCACCCCU
rnacentral:lncRNA from 1 species